rnacentral:rRNA from 1 species
UACGUAGGGGGCAAGCGUUGUCCGGAUUUAUUGGGCGUAAAGAGCGUGUAGGCGGCCGCACAGGUUCGUUGUGAAAACUGGAGGCUUAACCUUCAGACGUCGAUGGAAACCGUGCGGCUAGAGUCCGGAAGAGGAGAAUGGAAUUCCUGGUGUAGCGGUGAAAUGCGCAGAUAUCAGGAAGAACACCCGUGGCUAAGGCGGUUCUCUAGUACGGUACUGACGCUGAGACGCGAAAGCGUGGGGAGCGAACAGG